CGCUCACCACGAGGCUGACAAUCUUUUCGGCCUGGAGGCGCGUCAUAAGCUGCGCCGCGUCCUGCUUCGACAAGACUUUGUCGCCGAACCGGACGCGGAACAUACCGGCCUUCGGACCCGAAACGAUGGACGCGUUGUAGGUGUUUAGCAACUGCGUGAUCUCGUCAGCCUUUGCGUCCGGCGUAAACCGAAGCAAGCCGAACGUGCCCCCGGUCGACUGGGCCGGGAACGCGGCCGUCUGGAAGUU
rnacentral:misc_RNA from 1 species